CAUCAUUUGUUCCUGAUGAAGAGCAUCAGUUUGAGUCCAAGGCCGAUGUCGGAGCCUCCAAGACUUAUCCUCAGCAAGCCGGCACCAUUCGCAAUAAUGCUUAUAUCGUCAUCAAGAAUCGUGCUUGCAAGGUUAACUUCUUUCUUCAAUCUCAGUUUUGUUUUGGAAAAUCCUUGUGUUGCGUAGUUAUAUUUUUUAUUUAAUUGUGUUAAUUUUUAGACAGUUUUGCGUCAAUUGUUUUUCAAUUAUGCUGUUAGGGGUUAGGGUUUUUGUUGCUUUUCGUCUGUUUCAAGUCAACAUGUUUGUAUGUCUUGAUUUUGCUUAAUACGAAAUGACCCUCUUCCUUCAUCUUCCUUAAACCUAGCCGCUCAUCUACCCCAUCUCUUCUGUCGUUGUCGGAGAUCGGAGACCGGAAUUAGCUUCAUUUUUCAUGUUGGCAUCUUCGUUUUUUCUGCCUCUCUAAAUCCGGAGUCUAAAAACAACUAGAUAUGCUUCUUAUUUUUGACAUUUACUUCGUUAAAACAUGAAAAAAUCUUGGUAGUCGUAACAAAUGUUUUCGAAAUUGGGUAAUCUUUAUCCAACCAGGUUCGUUUUUGGUUGAUAAAUGUAACUUGAUUUUUUAGGAAAUCCUCAUUUUGAUAUGUAAUUUGAACUGAUUGAUUUUAGAAUUCAUCAUUUUGAUAUGUAAUUUGACCUGGUUGUUUAAGAAAGCCUCAUUUUGAUAUGUAAUUUGACCUGAUGGUUUAAGACAUCCUCAUCUUGAAGUGGGUGAUCUGCUGAAGACAAAUCUGAUUGAAUUCAGCUAUAAGCUUCAAAAACAUGGAAUUGUAGGACUUUGACUUUUGUUUUUGCUUAGUUUAAUGGGUCCUUUGUUGUCUUGUUUCCUCUAAUAUAAUUUAAUUGAGUUGUUUGUCUCAUUACAGGAAAGUAUGUAUCAUUACAGGAAAAUAGUGAACAAGUGAUCGACUUUAAUUCUGUAAUUGGUGGUUUUUGUUAUUUUAAUUAGGCUGGCCUUGUUUUUAGUGGGAUUAAACCAAACCAUAAUUUUAGAACACUAACCAGAAUUUUAUUAAAGGCUUCAAGAAUAUUUUGUUGAAGCCAUCGUGACUUUUAAUCCUAACAUUGUAACAUAAUGACGAAAUUACCCCAAGACUAGAUUAUAUUAACGUCUAUAACCGUUACUAAUAUUUAAUCGCUAAGUAAUAAAUAAUGAUAUAUCUUUCAUAUAAUCAGUGAACCACUAUAUUGUUGUGUUUUUGUGAGAAAAAGUUUAAUUUAGAGGCUUUAUAUUAUCCAUGUUUGGUUUCUUAUUGUUUAGUUUAAGGGGUAUUUUUAUGUCAAUUUUAUAGUCGACGGUGAACGAGCAGCGGUCAACUGUGCACCCCACUUGACUUCCGGGCUGGAUCAGCCACUGUCCAUGAUCCUUUUAAAUGUUUAUUGAUGCCCCUUAUUUAAAUUGGUUAUUUUUCUUUAAUAUCACAAUUCAGACAUAUUAUUUAUUUAUAAAUUUAUAUAUUGAAGACAUUAAAUUAUUAAUCACUAUUCUAUUGUGAAAUGUAACAUGGUACUAUGUUGUGGAAGUUUCCACCUCCAAUACUGGCAAGCAUGGUCAUUCCAAGUGUCACUUUGUUGCAAUCGAGAUUUUCAACAGGAAAAAGCUUGAGGAUAUUGUUCCAUCAUCCCAUAAUUGUGAUGUCUACAGUGUCAUUUGUACCGAUUACCAGCUAAUUGAUAUGUCUGAAGAUGGAUUUGUAUGAUAGUCUCUACUCUGGAUUUGGAGAGGGGAAGGACCUGGUUGUGACUCAUAUGUCAGCAACGGGAAAGGAACAGAUUUGUGCUCUCAAGGACAUUGGCCCCAAAUAUACAAUUCAAAAAAUCCAUAACCACCACACUAUAAUAUAUUAUAAAAUUUGAAGAAAACAGAAAAACAAGUCAUGUUUUUAUUUUGUUUUAUCAUGUAACAUAUGUUUAUGUUACUUAUCAAAAUUAGAAAUUGAAAUUC